UACGGGGGGGGGCUAGCGUUGUUCGGAAUUACUGGGCGUAAAGCGUGCGCAGGCGGUUUUGUAAGUCUGUCGUGAAAUCCCGGGGCUCAACCCCGGAAUGGCCUUCAAAACUCCCAGCCUAGAGUUCGAGAGAGGUGAGUGGAAUUCCGAGUGUAGAGGUGAAAUUCGUAGAUAUUGGAGGAACACCAGUGGCGAAGGCGGCUCACUGGCCCGGUACUGACGCUGGAGGCACGAAAGCGUGGG
rnacentral:rRNA from 1 species